UACCACCUGUAAUAGGAGACGGGGGAGCACUCACCCCGGCACUGAUGCUGACACUUCAUUAACUAGCAUUGUAAAGAUCACAGGUCUGGAUCAUUUGUAUCAUCUCUGUUUUGUUUUUGCAUUGCUGACUUGCAGUGGUGCUGGUUUUAAUACUAACCUGAGCGUGUGUGGAAAUACCCUUAUUCAAGUUUAUCACUGUAAAUUCCCAUGGUUAUUUAGCAGCUUUCCCAUGAUCAUGCAGUGCGUUUGCCAUAGUUUACUCUGGUUUGCCAUGGUUUUUAAAUGUGCUUUGCCAUACCUUUCUGCGCUUCAUAACACUUACCUCCUGCUUUACCGUGCUUUCACUGUGCUUUAUUACACUUUGCUGUGCUAUUACUUUUACAAGGGAGUCCAUGAUAGUAUGUUGAUGUGCUCUUAACAUUGUGUUCCAUGCAUAUUAACCAUGUGCUUUAUUGAAGGCUCUCUGCUCCAGAAUCCUCAGUGUUCAUUGGCUGUGUUUCUGUGUCUGUCCAGCCCCUUACAGCGAGCCGCAGUUAGCGAUUGGCCUGCCUCGCCCCGGUGAUCAUGUGACCCUGACUGUCAGGGUGGCGGGCGGUUAUCCCCGGCCCACACUGCUGUAGCUGAAUGCGGCAGGAAGUGACAUCACAAACCAGAGCCACACCAAGCCGUCUGUGGACAGCAGGGGGCUCUACCAGAUCCAGAACGAGCUGGAGGCGGUGGUGAAUGAAGCAGAGACCUUCACCUUCGAGCUGGAUCACCCCGUGAUGGAGCAGAGAGUGAGCCGAGCUGUCACCCUGCACCCAAGCACAGGCGUUCGUAUUGAACAGAGAAGCCGGCUACCUGUUACAUUCUCACUGCUGCUUGUGUUGCUGCUGGUGCUCGGCAUGUUUCUUCAUGGAGCUUGAGCAGCUGUGACAGGCUGAGCGAUCCCUCCCUCUGCUCAGAAACCAGCCCAGCUACCCCUUAGGGUAUACCUUUACACUGCAGAGACUGGAUGGAGGGAGCAGGGGAAUUCUGCCUGAAGGAUCUUGACCUACUCCUCCAGGAUUUCUUUAACAUGCCUGUGAUGUGUGAUCCUUUGCCGUUACUAUGCUGCCCUCUGUCGGUGAGAUGAGGGAAGCUCUAAAGCCACCAAUGCAGACGAGCCCUGAAAGUUCAUUUCUGUGUGGAUAUUCAGUGUAUAUAAAAGUGUCCCAUUUGUCUGCGUUUGGGAGAGAAGCUGGUGACGUCACA